GACGAACGCUGGCGGCGUGCUUAACACAUGCAAGUCGAACGAAGUGGCGAACGGGUGAGUAACGCGUAAUCAACCUGCCCUUCAGAGGGGGACAACAGUUGGAAACGACUGCUAAUACCGCAUACCGAAGGAGGGGAUUGCGUCUGAUGAGCUAGUUGGAGGGGUAACGGCCAACCAAGGCGCUGAACGGUAGCCCGUCUGAGAGGAUUAACGGCCACAGUGGAACUGAUGCACGGCCCAGACUCCUACGGGAGGCAGCAGUGGGGAAUCUUCCGAAAUGGGCGAAAGUCUGACGGACCAACGCCGCGUGAGUGAAGAAGGGUUUCGGAGCGUAAAGCUCUGUAGUUAGAGAAGCGGUAUCUAACCAGAAAGCCACGGCUAACUACGUGCCAGCAGCCGCGGUAAUAC
rnacentral:rRNA from 1 species